CAUCCUGAUCUUGUCUGAUCUCAUGAAUUAAGCAGGGUCGGGCCUGGU
rnacentral:precursor_RNA from 1 species